rnacentral:rRNA from 1 species
UACGUAGGGUGCGAGCGUUGUCCGGAAUUAUUGGGCGUAAAGGGCUCGUAGGCGGUUUGUCGCGUCGGGAGUGAAAUCCACUGGCUUAACUGGUGGCUUGCUUUCGAUACGGGCAGACUGGAGGUAUGCAGGGGAGAACGGAAUUCCUGGUGUAGCGGUGAAAUGCGCAGAUAUCAGGAAGAACACCCGUGGCGAAGGCGGUUCUCUGGGACGGUACUGACGCUGAGACGCGAAAGCGUGGGAGCGAACAGG